rnacentral:rRNA from 1 species
ACGAACGCUGGCGGCGUGCCUAAUACAUGCAAGUCGAGCGGAAUGAUGAAGAAGCUUGCUUCUUCUGAUUUCAGCGGCGGACGGGUGAGUAACACGUGGGCAACCUACCUUGUAGAUUGGGAUAACUCCGGGAAACCGGGGCUAAUACCGAAUAAUCCAUUUUGCUUCAUGGCGAGAUGUUAAAAGGCGGCUUCGGCUGUCACUACGAGAUGGGCCCGCGGCGCAUUAGCUAGUUGGUAGGGUAAUGGCCUACCAAGGCGACGAUGCGUAGCCGACCUGAGAGGGUGAUCGGCCACACUGGGACUGAGACACGGCCCAGACUCCUACGGGAGGCAGCAGUAGGGAAUCUUCCACAAUGGACGAAAGUCUGAUGGAGCAACGCCGCGUGAGUGAAGAAGGUUUUCGGAUCGUAAAACUCUGUUGUAAGGGAAGAACACGUACGAGAGUAACUGCUCGUACCUUGACGGUACCUUAUUAGAAAGCCACGGCUAACUACGUG